rnacentral:rRNA from 1 species
UACGUAGGGGGCAAGCGUUGUCCGGAUUUAUUGGGCGUAAAGAGCUCGUAGGCGGUCUGUUGCGUCGGCUGUGAAAACCCGAGGCUCAACCUCGGGCCUGCAGCCGAUACGGGCAGACUAGAGUUCGGCAGGGGAGACUGGAAUUCCUGGUGUAGCGGUGAAAUGCGCAGAUAUCAGGAGGAACACCGGUGGCGAAGGCGGGUCUCUGGGCCGAUACUGACGCUGAGGAGCGAAAGCGUGGGGAGCGAACAGG